GCUGAUAAAAUGUGUUUUUACAUCAUGUUGCUCUUCAGAUCUGCUUGAUUAACUCUGAAUGUCUUAAAGGGAAGUGAAAGACUCUCAGAAUGACUGACAGAGCUGUUUUUCAGAAGAAUGAAACAUCACAGUUUCCAUCUCUGUCUCUCUUUAGCUGCGGCUCGUCCCGCUCUCACAGUGCUGCUGCCCUCCAGAGACGAGCUGGAGCAGGGGAAGGCUACAGUGCUGUGUGUGGCCAGUAAGGGAUACCCCUCUGACUGGAAGCUGAGCUGGAAGGUGGACUGCAGCAGCAGGAGCUCUGGUGUGGAUCUGAGUCCCAGUCAGCUGCAGAAGGAUGGACUGUACAGCUGGAGCAGCAGCCUGAGCCUCACUGAGAGCUGGACUCCACUGAUGGUCAGAGUAAAAUCCAUGUGGUUUCCACUUUCACUGCCACUGAAUCUAGAAGAAACACCUGAAGCUCUCUCUGAUGUGGAGGAGAUCAGGAGUUUAGGAACUUCUCCAGGAAUCUGAUGAUACCAGGCCAUACAAUACAGAGAAUUAUUUUUGGAACUCACACAGCUUAUUGCUGGUGUGUGUUUACAGUGAAUAGUGACGGUCUGAUCAGGAUUCACUGUUUGAUUUUCAGAUUGAGUCAGAAUCUGCCCCACAGA